ACCUGACUGCUAUCGGAUUGAUACUAAGCCAUGCGAGUCUUUGUAGUAAUACAAGGCAGACGGCUCAGUAACACGUAGUCAACCUACCCUAUGGACGAGAAUAAUCUCGGGAAACUGAGCAUAAUUCUUGAUAGAUCAUAAUGCCUGGAAUGGUUUAUGGUUAAAAUGAUUCGUCGCCAUAGGAUGGGACUGCGGCCUAUCAGCUUGUCGGUGAGGUAAUGGCCCACCAAGGCGAUUACAGGUACGGGCUCUGAGAGGAGAAGCCCGGAGAUGGGUACUGAGACACGGACCCAGGCCCUAUGGGGCGCAGCAGGCGAGAAAACUUUGCAAUGUGCGAAAGCACGACAAGGUUAAUCCGAGUGAUUUCUGCUAAAGAAAUCUUUUGCCAGUCAUAAAACCGCUGGUGAAUAAGGGGUGGGCAAGUUCUGGUGUCAGCCGCCGCGGUAAAACCAGCACCUCAAGUGGUCAGGAUGAUUAUUGGGCCUAAAGCAUCCGUAGCCGGCUUUGUAAGUUUUCGGUUAAAUCCAUGUGCUCAACGCAUGGGCUGCCGAAAAUACUGCAUAGCUAGGGAGUGGGAGAGGUAGACGGUACUCGAUAGGUAGGGGUAAAAUCCUUUGAUCUAUUGAUGACCACCUGUGGCGAAGGCGGUCUACCAGAACACGUUCGACGGUGAGGGAUGAAAGCUGGGGGAGCAAACCGGAUUAGAUACCCGGGUAGUCCCAGCUGUAAACUAUGCAAACUCAGUGAUGCAUUGGCUUGUGGCCAAUGCAGUGCUGCAGGGAAGCCGUUAAGUUUGCCGCCUGGGAAGUACGUACGCAAGUAUGAAACUUAAAGGAAUUGGCGGGGGAGCACCACAAGGGGUGAAGCCUGCGGUUCAUUGGAUUCACGCCGGGAA
rnacentral:rRNA from 1 species